GAGAAAGUAAAUAAUUAUUGGGUUAACAGUUAAUUUGAUUUUUCCGUUAAAUUUAGAAUUUUUAGGUGAAAUUUUAAUUUUAUUUUAAUAGGGUUUAGUUGAUUCUGUGAAAUUUAUUUUUAUAAACAAGGAUUAGAUACCCUUUUAUUUUAAAUGUAAAUAUUUAACUCGGGUAGUAAUAGUUAUGUUCUUGAAACCCAAAGAAUUUGGCGGUAUUUUAUUCUUUUUAGAGGAACCUGUCCUGUAAUUGAUAGUCCACGAUAGAUAAUUACUUAUUCUUGUAUUCAUUUUGUAUACCUCCGUCAUCAGAUUAUCUUUUUAGAGAUAAUAUUCAAGUAAUACAAAAUAUAAUAUGUCAGGUCAAGGUGCAAUUUAUGAAUAAGUAGAGAUGGGUUACAAUAAAUUUAUUUAUACGAAUUUGUAUUUUUAUUAUAUACAAUGAAGGUGGAUUUAAAAGUAAAUUUAAUUCUUUAUUGAUUUGAUUUUAGCUCUAARAUAUGCACACAUCGCCCGUCGCUCUUAUUUUAAAAUAAGAUAAGUCGUAACAUAGUAGGUGUACUGGAAGGUGUACCUAGUAAGGUA
rnacentral:rRNA from 1 species